CUUACCAUGCAAGUCGAGCGGUAACAGGGGUAGCUUGCUCCUGCUGACGAGCGGCGGACGGGUGAGUAACGCGUAGGAAUCUGCCUAGUAGAGGGGGACAACAUGUGGAAACGCAUGCUAAUACCGCAUACGCCCUANGGGGGAAAGGAGGGGACUNUUCGGAGCCUUCCGCUAUUAGAUGAGCCUGCGUAAGAUUAGCUAGUUGGUAGGGUAAAGGCCUACCAAGGCGACGAUCUUUAACUGGUCUGAGAGGAUGACCAGUCACNCUGGGACUGAGACACGGCCCA
rnacentral:rRNA from 1 species